AAGCCUUCAACCACCUCUCCAUCCAUCACAACCAUUCUCACAGGGACAACCACCACAAUCUCUGUCACCACAAACUCAACUGCUCUGGUUUCUUCCACCGUUCUCUUCCCAGUAUUGGUUCCUACUGCCUGUGUCUGUGUUUUGGUUUUCCUGGUGGUGCUGGUCGUACUGGUGAGACAACGUGCUCACAACAAACCUGAAGCUACCGUAGGAGGAGGAGGAGGAGGAGAGGGGGAUGAAGUCACGUACAGCCAUGUCCAAAUACAGCAGAGUGAAGAAGAGAAAACCAAACCCAGACAAGAACAUGACGGUGAUCCAUCUAUAGUCUACUCAACCAUAAGAACAGGGGAAGUGACUUAUGGGGAGAUAAUCAUCAAAAAGAAGAAGAAGAAGUCAAAGGCCAAAGAAAAAGAGAGUCAACCAGACCCAGACGUGGUCUACUCCUCGGUAGGAGGACCCAGAGCCAACCCGUGACCUCCAGCAGCUUCCAGUAACUGGCUGGAGAGAUGGAUCUUCCUCACUGGGAGCAAACCGUGACGUCGCAUUCCCAUAAACUGGUUUCCAGUGGCAGAUCAGGGAACUGGUGCUUCAUCUGGAAUGUUGCAUCCAGGAGUUAUUGUUGUGUUUUUAUUAAAUUCAAGAAAAAAAGUGAUUGAAAAGCGGAAAAUAAUUUUGAAAACCAAUGUUUUUAAAGCCAAGUCUUUGCUGUCAGUUCAAGCUCACAAGAAGCUAACGCUUUGCUUUUCAUGCAUUUAAAGGGGUCAUAGAAUGCAAAACCGAAUUUCCGUUGUCUAGGAUGAAUAACAAUAGUUCAGUUGGUGAAAUGGACGUACAGAGAAGAUCAAACCCCAUCAACACCUCCUUUCUCUGCAAAUCUCACAAUUCGAAACUUCCACCUUAAAACAGGUGAAUCCUCUGGGAUGUUGCCUUAUUUGGUUCUGGCCUGUACAUUUGUGUCGGCCCAAAACUGACAUCCAGACCAGCCCACUGGUUUAGUGGCCCAAGAACAUAAAUAGAGGUAGAUGUAAGACACCAGUUUAGCUGUUUAGCCUAUAGUUGGGUUACUUCUACAAGAAUUACGGAGCAGGCAGUUUCUCUAUUGAAAAUGAGCCAGAACCACAGGAAGGAAAUGCACAAGAAGUUCCAGGCUGCACGGAGGAAGGGGAACAUUUUCACAGUCUUCCCAAGGAUCCGAAGACUCGACAGGCAUGGAUUAUUUUUGUCUAUCAGAAGAUCCCUGCAAAGGUUGAUGCUUAGUUGUUCAUUUGCUCUAAACAUGUGACAGGUAUGCAAUUAACUAAUUGCAUACCUGGGGCAGCCAUUGUCUAGGCUACCGGCACCAGGUCAGCUUCGGUCACUCCGUCCCCCGCUGGCUCCCUGCCUCUGUCCGCCGGGGUUCCCGCACCAGACCGGAGCUGACGGCUCGGUUCUGCUGCACUGUAGUCGACCAAAAUCCCAGACGAUUUAGAAAUUCCCCCGGACAUUUUUUUAGGUAUGAAAAGUAGGACAUGUCUGGAA